rnacentral:rRNA from 1 species
GAUGAACGCUGGCGGCGUGCCUAAUACAUGCAAGUCGAGCGAACAGACGAGGAGCUUGCUCCUCUGACGUUAGCGGCGGACGGGUGAGUAACACGUGGAUAACCUACCUAUAAGACUGGGAUAACUUCGGGAAACCGGAGCUAAUACCGGAUAAUAUAUUGAACCGCAUGGUUCAAUAGUGAAAGACGGUUUUGCUGUCACUUAUAGAUGGAUCCGCGCCGGAUUAGCUAGUUGGUAAGGUAACGGCUUACCAAGGCAACGAUGCGUAGCCGACCUGAGAGGGUGAUCGGCCACACUGGAACUGAGACACGGUCCAGACUCCUACGGGAGGCAGCAGUAGGGAAUCUUCCGCAAUGGGCGAAAGCUUGACGGAGCAACGCCGCGUGAGUGAUGAAGGUCUUCGGAUCGUAAAGCUCUGUUAUUAGGGAAGAACAAAUGUGUAAGUAACUAUGCACGUCUUGACGGUACCUAAUCAGAAAGUCACGGCUAACUACGUG